GCCGAGGUGACGGAACUGGCAGACGUGCGAGACUUAAAAUCUCGUGGUGGUAACCCCACCGUGCGGGUUCGACUCCCGCCCUCGGCA
rnacentral:tRNA from 1 species